GUAUCUCAAAAGUGACAUUUUUCUUGGAAAAAAAAGUUUUGUCGUAGAUAAGGAAAUCUCCUCAUGAUUACAGUCGCAUUUCGUCAUUUUGUAAUAUUGUUGUGAUCCAGGCAUACUCUCAAGUUUACUCUACAACAUAUUAGUAUUAGUAACACGAAAUUUUUAUGUAUUUUAUGUGUACAUUGAAUCAAUCCGUCAAUGUCAAAUCAUAUUACCCGACUCUUAUGAAAAUCCAAGAAAUAAAUAUCAAUAUGUGAUAAGACAAAAAUAACUGUUAAAUAUGUUGUCUUCAUUCGCAUGUAUAUUAAGUAUUUAUUCAUAUAUUUUUAUUGAAUGACGUCAACAAUCAAACCUUAUCGUCACAACAAUUUGUCAAAAUAUGAAUAUGUAUCAAUUCAUAUAAUAUGUAUUUUAAACUGAAAGAAAAUAUUGAUAAAAUCAAGUAGAAACUCGCUGGUUGAAGUUUCAUGUCUAUUUUCUAGAUUAUAUUAUUUCAUCCAAUAAGUAUUAAGGCGGGUUACGACAUCUACCAUACGUGUACAGUGUACAUGUAUACAUCUUUUAACUAUUUAUUUAUAAACUUUCCAUAUUACGUAGGCUGCUAUAUAUAUUUCUGGCCUUCGCUACACUAAGUCUUGCCAGGUGCAAUUUGACAUUUCCUUGGUAAGUUUGACAUUUUUGAAGCAUAAUCGAUCACAAAAUGGUUUGCCGUACAACCAUUAUUUUUGUUGUUUACAGUGACUUGAAAAAAUUAUUUUGGCAAAAAAAAAUGGAAUUAAGUAGUGAACAUUUUCUUGCGAUCAUUUUUCACAACUUUUGACGUGGAUUAUCACUACAAGAGUACAUUGAUGAACAUUAAUCUUUGUAUUUCGAUGAAGCACAUACCAAUAGCACUGUGAAAAACUGGUUUAAUGAAUUCAAUCGUGGAUGACGCUCGCUCAAAGACGAAUUCCGUGAAGGUCGUCCAAAAACGGCCGUUGUGCCAGAGAACAUUGAUGCCGUGCGUGAAGUGAUAAUGGUCCUGCACAAUUUGGCAAUCGCUCAAAAGAAGGCUCGUGUCGAUCGGUGCAAGGAAAUAUUGAAAAAAUACGCUCGCAGUGCUUCAAAGGACAUUUAUAAGAUCUUCACAAGUGACGAAUCAUGGAUCUAUGCGUAUGAGCACGAAAGAAAACAACAAUCGACCGGGUGGGUCUUCGAAGACGAGCCAAAUCCAACAAAAGUUGUUCGUGGAAGAAGUACUUCGAGGGAAAUUAUCGCAUGUUUCUUUCGCAAAACUGUUCAUAUGUCGACUGUUCCACUUGAGGAUCGUAGGACGGUCAAUUCUGAGUGGUUUGUUUGCCUGAAGUCUUUGGAGAAAUUUGAAAAACUAACAAGAGAAGACGAAUCAUUGUUCACCAUGACAAUGCGAGUUCUCACACAUUGACUAAAACCAGCGCCUUUUUGACCAGCCAAAACGUCGAAUUGAUGGUUCAUCCGCCGUACCGCCCUGACAUGGUACCCAAUGAUUUCUUUUUAUUUUCGCCCAUCAAGAAAAAAAAUGCGUGGUCAACAAUUUUCGUCUCCUGAAGAUUCUGUUUAAGCGUUUAAAAACCAUGCAAAAGUGUAUUAAUCUUACUGGCGUAUAUUUUGAGAAACAA
rnacentral:lncRNA from 1 species